GGACGAACGCUGGCGGCGUGCCUAAUACAUGCAAGUCGAACGGUCUUUUCUAUGGAAGCUUGCUUCCACUGGGAAGAUAGUGGCGGACGGGUGAGUAACACGUGGGUAACCUGCCCAUAAGAGGGGGAUAACAUCCGGAAACGGGUGCUAAUACCGCAUAGUUUUCUUGAUCGCAUGGUCGAGAAAGGAAAGACGGCCUUUGUGCUGUCGCUUAUGGAUGGACCCGCGGCGUAUUAGUUAGUUGGUGAGGUAACGGCUCACCAAGACGAUGAUACGUAGCCGACCUGAGAGGGUGAUCGGCCACAUUGGGACUGAGACACGGCCCAAACUCCUACGGGAGGCAGCAGUAGGGAAUCUUCCGCAAUGGACGAAAGUCUGACGGAGCAACGCCGCGUGAGUGAAGAAAAGGUUUUCGGAUCGUAAAACUCUGUUGUCAGAGAAGAACAAGUCGGAGAGUAACUGCUCCGGCCUUGACGGUAUCUGACCAGAAAGCCACGGCUAACUACGUGCCAGCCGCAGC
rnacentral:rRNA from 1 species